AGCGAACGCUGGCGGCAGGCCUAACACAUGCAAGUCGAACGAACUCUUCGGAGUUAGUGGCGGACGGGUGAGUAACACGUGGGAACGUGCCUUUAGGUUCGGAAUAACUCAGGGAAACUUGUGCUAAUACCGAAUGUGCCCUUCGGGGGAAAGAUUUAUCGCCUUUAGAGCGGCCCGCGUCUGAUUAGCUAGUUGGUGAGGUAAAGGCUCACCAAGGCGACGAUCAGUAGCUGGUCUGAGGGGAUGAUCAGCCACAUUGGGACUGAGACACGGCCCAAACUCCUACGGGAGGCAGCAGUGGGGAAUCUUGCGCAAUGGGCGAAAGCCUGACGCAGCCAUGCCGCGUGAAUGAUGAAGGUCUUAGGAUUGUAAAAUUCUUUCACCGGGGACGAUAAUGACGGUACCCGGAGAAGAAGCCCCGGCUAACUUCGUGCCAGCAGCCGCAGUAAGAC
rnacentral:rRNA from 1 species